AGUUUGUCUUUGUUUUGAAAUGUUUCUUCAUUUCAUUAGUCAUUAAUAUGUAGUAAUCAAUAUAGCUUGUUUUUACACAGCUUCAGAUCUUUCAGGUUAUCCUGCGUGCUUGAGGGAGAAAAGUAUUUGCUCUUGAAGGAACCUGUAAUCACCUCACCCACUAUGUCAUUGCUACUAGAACUUCUUAGACAAGAAACAUGGUAUGUGGCUGUCCAAAAGGGCAAAGCUGACAGGAGACAGGAAUGAGAUUGAAGCUGGAUAGGCACCCGGCAGCCAGCCAAGAUCAACCCAUCACAGUAGUUUAAAACCCUAAAUCUUACUGCUGCAUAUUUCUUCAGUAGGGAUAGCUGAAAUUACUUCAUCUCAUGACCAAACUACAAGAAAAUGUCUUCUGCUGAAGAAAAAAAACCAACAAAAUUCUGUAAGAUAUUGUAGAUGGUAUACCACCAUAUUCUACUAAACAGAGUGGAAAGCAUUCUGCUUUGUGUUGUGGACUCUUCCAUUGGAUCAUGGUCCCUCUUGUAGACAAAUAAAUGGCACAAAAUUGUAAAGCACUCAUUUGUUGAUUCACCUUUAAACUCCCUUACUUUAGAAAAGAUUUGUUACUUUGGGAGCAGGAAGAUGAUAAAGGAGCUAAAAAAGGGACAAGUCUUUUUCUUUCCAUCCUCUCUACUAACAGGUCACUUCUGUAUUGAAAAGCUUCAUUCUGUACAGGUUCAUAUAAUGUUCCUAUUACAAUGAUGCUUUAUAUUUUUAUUGUUGCUCCUUCUUAUACGUCCAGUUAUAUGACACUGAUAUUGAAUCUCUUUUGUAGUGACUACAUUAGCUCAGAUUUUAUCAUUUAAAUUCUAUCACCAUUCUUCAAGAAAUAGGUAUUUAGUAUUUACAAACCAGGCAAACAAAAAUCUUUCUGUGUCAUCUAAUAAGUUACCUAAUAUUUUUGAUAUUCUUUUUAAAUGAAAAUUUUCAACUUCAGUGCAAGAAGGCACCAUUUGUUUCUAAUUUGUUCCUGUUUAAUAUACAGUUGUCAAGAAUUUCAUUCUUUCUAUCUAUCCGUCUUUCCCUCUUUCUUUUAGAUCUUUUACUAUUGCUAUAGUAAAAAAGCAAAUAUUGAUAAAUGAAUCUUGUCGUUAAGGGAGAGCAGUUUUGCAGCAGAAUGAAAAGUUAUAUCUGUGCUUCAAGUUAUUAGAAGGCAAUUAUUCUUUUGAGACAUAAAUGCAUGU